rnacentral:ncRNA from 2 species
GAGCCAAACAGAAGGAAGAUUGAAAGAUUGAGAGUUUUUUGUGUUGAUUCGGUGGAUGGUGGUGCAGGGCCGUUUAGUUGGGGGAGCGAUUUGUAUGGUUAAUUCCAAUAACGAGCGAGACUCUAGCCUAUUAAAUAGGUGCGUGGUUCUCUGCACCUUGCACCCUUCUUAAAGGGACGAGCGGCUCCUAGCCCCACGAAACAGCGCAAUGACAGGUCUGUGAUGCCCCUAAAUGUCC